rnacentral:rRNA from 1 species
UACGGGGGGGGCUAGCGUUGUUCGGAAUUACUGGGCGUAAAGGGCUCGUAGGCGGCCAACUAAGUCAGACGUGAAAUCCCUCGGCUUAACCGGGGAACUGCGUCUGAUACUGGAUGGCUUGAAUCCGGGAGAGGGAUGCAGAAUUCCAGGUGUAGCGGUGAAAUGCGUAGAUAUCUGGAGGAAUACCGGUGGCGAAGGCGGCAUCCUGGACCGGCAUUGACGCUGAGGAGCGAAAGCCAGGGGAGCAAACGGG